CAGGAUUUUGUCCCUUCUCUCUCUCCCUCCCCUCUCCUACAUCUCGGUCAGUGCUUUUCCGGGAGGAGGUGCGACGGAGAGGAGCAGGAGGCAGAGGGGGAGCGGCUCGGCUCUGCAGGGGUACAGGAGGCCUCGACGGAGGAGGUUCUGUACGAGUGGCACCCCCUGUUCGUCAGGCAGGCGUACUGACAGUGUCAUGCCCAUGUCCUCUUUGCUGUGAACCAGGAACACCUGCAAAUGUCAACAUGAGCGGUUACAACUUUGAGGACAUGGACAGCAGUCUCUGGGUGAAGUCCUGGGUUUCUGGCAGAAAGCCCUGAAGGCAGACUUCUCCCACGUGCUACAUACACACAAAACUAAACUAAAUCCAACAGUUGCUGGUUGCCUGGCAACCUCACUGUCACAAAAUCAGUAGUUAGACAACAUAACUUGUCCUAAAACCAAGUUGUUUUUACGGUUCUGUAGAAGGUGUUUCAGCCGUGUUCUUCAGUCUGUCUCACGUGCUUCUGACAGAGCAGAUUCACUGACCUAGCUGUUUACUUUACUCCAAUACACACAUUACUGCAACCAGAAACAUGUUUCCCCCCCUUCAAUCUAUUUUUCUCAGUUUUACUGUUUGUGUGUUGGGCUUUGAGUGCUUCCAAAAUGUCUGUGACCAACACUCAAUACCGUGCCUGAAUGCAUCUUAUGCAGACCUAGACAGAGUGCUGAAGCAGCUGUUGCUUAAGGGCUGCCCACACUAUACAGGCUGUAGACACUGUGACACUUAACCCACAGACAUGAGAUUGGUAUUGAUCUUCUCAUUUAACGCUCGGAAAUGGAAAUGGAAAGCAAAUAAUGGAUUUCCCAGAAUGUUGAACUAUUUCUUUAAAUGGACCAGUUCUGCAAAUCAACAACUGCUCAUAAACACAACAAACAGAUGUUUCAGAA